GACGAACGCUGGCGGCGUGCUUAACACAUGCAAGUCGAACGAAAAGGCCCUGCUUUUGUGGCGUGCUCGAGUGGCGAACGGGUGAGUGACACGUGAGUAUCCUCCCCUUGACUUUGUGAUAUCUUCAGGGAACUCGGGCUCAUACCGGGUAUAAGCUCCUGCUGCAUGGGGUUGGUUGGAAAGUUUCGGCGGUUGGGGAUCGUCUCGCGGCUUAUCCGCUUGUUGGUGGGGUAGUGGCUUACCAAGGGUUUGACGGGUAGCCUGCCUGAGAGGGGUAACGGCCACAUUGGGACUGAGGUAGGGACCAGACGCCUACGGGAGGCAGCAGGGGGGAAUAUUGCACAGUGGGCGGAAGCCUGAGGCAGCAACGCCGCGUGCGUGAUGACGGCUUUCGGGUGGUAAACAGAUGUCGCCGGUGACGAAGCGUGAGUGACGGUAAUGGGUAAAGAAGCACCGGCUAACUACGUG
rnacentral:rRNA from 1 species